AGUGAACGCUGGCGGUAGGCCUAACACAUGCAAGUCGAACGGCAGCACAGUAAGAGCUUGCUCUUACGGGUGGCGAGUGGCGGACGGGUGAGGAAUACAUCGGAAUCUACUUUUUCGUGGGGGGUAACGUAGGGAAACUUACGCUAAUACCGCAUACGACCUACGGGUAAAAGCAGGGGAUCUUCGGACCUUGCGCGAUUGAAUGAGCCGAUGUCGGAUUAGCUAGUUGGCGGGGUAAAGGCCCACCAAGGCGACGAUCCGUAGCUGGUCUGAGAGGAUGAUCAGCCACACUGGAACUGAGACACGGUCCAGACUCCUACGGGAGGCAGCAGUGGGGAAUAUUGGACAAUGGGCGCAAGCCUGAUCCAGCCAUACCGCGUGGGUGAAGAAGGCCUUCGGGUUGUAAAGCCCUUUUGUUGGGAAAGAAAAGCAGCAGGUUAAUACCCCGCUGUUCUGACGGUACCCAAAGAAUAAGCACCGGCUAACUUCGUG
rnacentral:rRNA from 1 species